rnacentral:rRNA from 1 species
AGAGCGAACGCUGGCGGCAGGCUUAACACAUGCAAGUCGAGCGGGCGUAGCAAUACGUCAGCGGCAGACGGGUGAGUAACGCGUGGGAACAUACCUUUUGGUUCGGAACAACCCAGGGAAACUUGGGCUAAUACCGGAUAAGCCCUUACGGGGAAAGAUUUAUCGCCGAAAGAUUGGCCCGCGUCUGAUUAGCUAGUUGGUGAGGUAACGGCUCACCAAGGCGACGAUCAGUAGCUGGUCUGAGAGGAUGAUCAGCCACAUUGGGACUGAGACACGGCCCAAACUCCUACGGGAGGCAGCAGUGGGGAAUAUUGGACAAUGGGCGCAAGCCUGAUCCAGCCAUGCCGCGUGAGUGAUGAAGGCCCUAGGGUUGUAAAGGCUCUUUUGUGCGGGAAGAUAAUGACGGUACCGCAAGAAUAAGCCCGGCUAACUUCGCGCCAGCAGCCGC